rnacentral:rRNA from 1 species
GACGAACGCUGGCGGCGUGCUUAACACAUGCCAGUCGAACGGAAAGGCCCUGCUUUUGUGGUGUGCUCGAGUGGCGAACGGGUGAGUAACACGUGAGUAACCUGCCCUUGACUUUGGGAUAACUUCAGGACACUGGGGCUAAUACCGGAUAGGAGCUCCUGCUGCGUGGUGGGGGUUGGAAAGUUUCGGCGGUUGGGGAAGGCCUCGCGGCUUAUCAGCUUGUGGGUGGGGUAGUGGCUUACCAGGGCCUUGGCGGGUAGCCGUCCUGAGAGGGUGGCCGGCCACAUUGGGACUGUGAUACGGCCCAGACUCCUACGGGAGGCAGCGGUGGGGAAUAUUGCACAAGGGGCGGAAGCCUGAUGCAGCAACGCCGCGUGCGGGAUGACGGCCUUCGGGUUGUAAACCGCUUGCGCCUGUGACGAAGCGGGAGUGACGGUAAUGGGUAAAGAAGCACCGGCUAACUACGUG